GACGAACGCUGGCGGCGUGCUUAACACAUGCAAGUCGUACGGUAAGGCCCUUUCGGGGGUACACGAGUGGCGCACGGGUGAGUAACACGUGAGUAACCUGCCCACAACUUUGGGAUAACGCUAGGAAACUGGUGCUAAUACUGGCUAUGUGCUCCUGCUGCAUGGUGGGGGUUGGACAGCUCCGGCGGUGGUGGAUGGACUCGCGGCCUAUUAGCUUGUUGGUGGGGUAGUGGCCUACCAAGGCGGCGACGGGUAACCGGCCUGAGAGGGUGACCGGCCACAUUGGGACUGAGAGACGGGCAAGACUCCGACGGGAGGCAGAAGUGGGGAAUGUUGCACAAUGGGAGGAAGCCUGAGGCAGCAACGCCGCGUGCGGGAUGACGGCCUUCGGGUUGUAAGCAGCUUUCAGCAGGGACGAAGCUUUGUGUGACGGUACCUGCAGAAGAAGCACCGGCUAACUACGUG
rnacentral:rRNA from 1 species